rnacentral:rRNA from 1 species
AGCAGCCGCGGUAAUUCCAGCUCCAAUAGCGUAUAUUAAAGUUGUCGCAGUUAAAAAGCUCGUAGUUGAACCUCGGGAUCAAUUGAUUGGUCAUGCCAUUGGUGUGUACUGGUCAUAUUGGUUCUCACCUUCUAAGGAACCUUAAUGUCAUUAAUUUGAUGUUUUGGGGAAUUAGGACUGUUACCUUGAAAAAAUUAGAGUGUUUAAAGCAGGCUAACGCUUGAAUACAUUAGCAUGGAAUAAUGAAAUAGGACAUCGCAUUCUAUUUUGUUGGUUUCUAGGAUCGAUGUAAUGAUUAAUAGGGAUAGUUGGGGGCAUUAGUAUUCAAUUGUCAGAGGUGAAAUUCUUGGAUUUAUUGAAGACUAACUACUGCGAAAGCAUUUGCCAAGGAUGUUUUCAUUAAUCAAGAACGAAAGUUAGGGGAUCGAAGACGAUCAGAUACCGUCGUAGUCUUAACCAUAAACUAUGCCGACUAGGGAUCGGAUGAUGUUGAUUUUUUAAUGACUC